UACGAAGGGGGCUAGCGUUGCUCGGAAUUAUUGGGCGUAAAGCGCAUGUAGGCGGCACGGUAAGUCGACUGUGAAAGCCCUUGGCUCAACCAAGGAAGUGCAGUCGAAACUGCCGAGCUCGAGUUCUGAAGAGGGUCGCGGAAUGGCCAGUGUAGAGGUGAAAUUCGUAGAUAUUGGCUAGAACACCAGUGGCGAAGGCGGCGACCUGGGAAGAUACUGACGCUGAGACGCGAAAGCGUGGGGAGCAAACAGG
rnacentral:rRNA from 1 species